rnacentral:rRNA from 1 species
AUACGUAGGGUGCGAGCGUUGUCCGGAAUUACUGGGCGUAAAGAGCUCGUAGGUGGUUUGUCGCGUCGGCUGUGAAAUUCCGGGGCUUAACUCCGGGCGUGCAGGCGAUACGGGCAUAACUUGAGUACUGUAGGGGAGACUGGAAUUCCUGGGGUAGCGGUGAAAUGCGCAGAUAUCAGGAGGAACACCGGUGGCGAAGGGGGGUCUCUGGGCAGUAACUGACGCUGAGGAGCGAAAGCAUGGGUAGCGAACAGGAUUAGAUACCCUGGUAGUCCAUGCCGUAAACGGUGGGCGCUAGGUGUAGGGGUCUUCCACGACUUCUGUGCCGUAGCUAACGCAUUAAGCGCCCCGCCUGGGGAGUACGGCCGCAAGGCUAAAACUCAAAUGAAUUGGCGGG